rnacentral:rRNA from 1 species
CACGCCGUAAACGAUGAAUGCUAGGUGUAGGGGAGCAAUUUUCUGUGCCGGAGUUAACACAAUAAGCAUUCCACCUGGGGAGUACGACCGCAAGGUUGAAACUCAAAGGAAUUGACGGGAGCCCGCACAAGCAGUGGAGUAUGUGGUUUAAUUCGAAGCAACGCGAAGAACCUUACCAGGGCUUGACAUCCGCAGAAGGCCGAGUAAAGUUGGCUGUGCCCUUCGGGGAACUGCGAGACAGGUGG